rnacentral:lncRNA from 1 species
AGCAACCCUUCUGGGUCCCCUUCCACCACGCAGAAGCUUUACUUUCGCUUUCACUUUACUUUUGCUUUCACUUUAACAAAUCUUGCAGCCGCACACUCUUUGGGUCCGCCCGUUUCUCUAAUCAAGUUGUAACACUCGCUGCUGUGGUCCACAGCUUCAUUCCUUGAAGCCCGUGAGACACGAACGCUUCCAUUGAGAAAAACCUUCCAUCAGAAGAAGACUUCUCGUCUCAGUGGGACUGCUGAGUUGAAUGGAUGACCUUUGUUUGUUUAAACUGUUGGAAAAUCAAUAUUUAAAAUGAAAUCUAGAAACUGAAGUGUGCCCUCUGCAGGAUCACCAGAAUGAUGGGAAAACUGAACACAAUCAACUCAUGAACUCCCCAAGAUGCUGCAGGAACUACAGACCCAGGAAAUCAACUGUUAUGACUGACUCUCAAUUAAAAUCAGUGCCUGCCUCUGAGCUAUUGAUGAUUCUAAAAAGUACAGCAUCCACUACCAUUACUUCCUUAUGUAUAAGGGCUGUCACUCUUUAAGCAAAAUAAACAGAUUUUUGAGCAUCAUCUCUUUUUUGGAUCAUCAUUUUGCAAGUGGAGAUUGUGCUUUUUUUUCUGAAGCUUUGGUAGUGUAACUGUAAGAGUCCUGGAAUUGGAAAAGCAAAUCCAGAAGUUGAGUUCCAUGACUUUUUUGCUGUUUGCCUUUGGACUUGCAUCAUUUAUAUUUUUAAUUCAUCGAGGAUGAGAAAAUUGAUUAACACAAAAUCUUUUCAUGUCUUUUCUGAUGAGAGACUAGCUGAAUCCAAGAAGAGAAGCCCUUGAAGAGUGUAUUCUAUUCUAGACAAGCAUUCACACAUUGGCUUCUUUGGUGCCAGAUUAAAGAAUGAAGAAAGGAUCAAAUUGAGACAUCCAGGGGGGAAGAGUUCCCUGGCAAAACUCCAAUCUGCCUGAGCACUGAGGUGGAGCCACAGAAGUCCGGGUCAUUUGCACCUGGGAGGAGCCUGGCCCCUCCUCUUCCUGUGUGGAAUCUGGGAUUUAAUCUGUGAGGAGGGAAGGCCAAGGGCAGGAAGCACAGGCUCUCACUUCACUAAGAGUCUCUGUUUCCCCUUUUUUUCCUUUAUGCCUAAUUAAUAAAUCCCAUUUUUCUCACUCUUCAAAUAGUCUUCAAGCCUAAAUUUUCAUGACCAUGGAACAAGGACCCCAUCUUUAGCUGAACUAAGGAAAAGUCCUGCAACAAAAUUCUUUGCUAAAAAUACAUGAGGUUGCCUUUUCCUUCUUAAUCUUAAAAGAAAUAUAUUUCAAUGGUUAACGUUUUAGUAAUUCAAAAAUUAUCAAGCAUUUGUUCACAACCAUAAGAUGUGCAUUGUUUUAUAUUCCUACUUAAUAAUAGACUAUAAUUGUCUAAUUAGACUGCCGAUGUUGAUCUUUGUGGCUCAUUGCAUUGAUUAUAAGCAGUGUUUUGGGUUUGUGUGUGUGUGUCAAAUUUAGGGUUUUUUUGGUAUGGCUGCUGGUUGGUGUAGCCUGUAUCCAGUAUCCUGUAUUAAUUCUAAUAUUUGCAUUUUGAACAUAUUUACAAGUUGCUAAAAUAGCAAAGCUUCGAGAUGAGCCUGGCUGAUAUGGCAAAACCCCGUCUCUACUAAAAAUACAAAAAUUAGCCUGGUGUGGUGGUGCAUGCCUGUAAUCCCAGCUACUUGGAAGUCUGAGGCAGGAGAAUCUCUUGAACCCAGAAGGUGGAGGUUGCAGUGGGCCAAGAUCGCACCACUGCACUCCAGCCUCGGUGAUAGAGCGAGACUACGUCUCAAAAAUAAAAUAAAAUAAAAUAAAAUAAAAAUAGCAAAGCUAUGUAUGGUUUCUCUGAGUUUUGUAAUUUAUCAUUGUUAACUGCAGAAAUUUAUUAUAUGAGACAUAUUAUAUGAGACAUAUAAGUGAAUUUGGAUUGGGUUUAAUUUUAUAUUUUUGAAUAUAGUUCUUCAAGAUAAAUUUUAUCUUAGACCUCAAGAAAUAAAAAUAAAAUAAAUUAGAUAUACAAACGA